UAUAUAAAAUAAAGGCACUGUAUGAUCUUUUUUAUGCUUUAACAGGAUAAUAUCUCAUUUUUGAUGAUUCAGAAGUCUUGGCAUGAUGCUCACUUCAAGAGUAUCGCUCUCUCUCCAGUGUGUCUUCAAACUUCGCUAAAGUACAAUGACUGGGAGUUCAUACGGAUUCACACAGUGAUUGGGAAAACGCAUUAAAGAAAAAAUUACUGAGUGCUAUUAAAUACGAAGAAAAUGUCUUCCAUUUCAGAAGCCUUUGGACCGUGAGUUUUUUGGAGACAAACAGAUACCCCUGGGGACAUACCAUUCCAGCCGUAACACCUGCUCUCCCUCGCUGGUUAUGGGGCUAAAUGGGUCUUUGGUGGAAUUUUUCUUUUGAAUGGAGAUCAGGACAAACAGAUCUAAAGAUUACAGGUUUAAUAAUAAUUUUGUGCUUAAUAAUAAUUAGUGAUCAGAAUUAAUUAGAAAAAAUUAAUGAUAAUGACAUUGGUACAAAACUUUACUUCUUCUGGCACUGCUGAAGACUUUCUGUUUCCUCACUGCGUGAUUAAAAGGAACAGAAAGAAGUUGCAGCUUUGGCACUUUUGAUCUCUGGAUUAGCACUUUUGGAUCUAUGGAACAGUUACAGCUGUUCAGUCUAAAGGAUCAAAAAUGUUAAGAAAAUUAAUUGGUACCCUGAAUAAACAUUCAUUGCAUGAUUUUCGUAAUUUAAGGGUCCCAUUUACUUAAAGGAGAAAUGACCAGCCCUGCAGCGUGGACUGUGCUUUAGGGACUUGGGGAAGGCACCUCAGAUCGUUUUCCUUAGUGUCAGGGUGGUUGCAAUGAACUUCUGAGGCUCUUUUGUGGUGGCUUAUUGGUUUGGACCGUGAGGAGCUGUGGGUUCAUCACUAGGUUCGACUAAGGCUCAGGUAAUUUCUUGAUCUAGCGAAAGGCAUCUGAACUGGGCUAUAGUUGACUCCCCUGAAGCUGACUGAGGACUGACGGCUUUUCUUUGCAGGUUACUUGUCUGCAUGCCUCAGAUCCAGAAGCCAGAAAUGUGGCUAAAAUACUUACGUUGCCACUCUAGCUGUAGAUCCUGCUAUGGCCACUUCAAGCAGAUGCAGCUGUUGCAUGGUUUAUGCUCCAAUUGUCCUAAAAUCUGUGGUUGGGCUUUUGAGACUUGUGAUCACAGAAGACCUGUCAAGCCCAGCACUGGCUAUGACACUACUCAGAAUCUGGAUAAUUAAAAAAUAACACACAAAUCCUACUAAUUAACCCACUUUAACACCAUGAAGCUUAUUAAAAGUUGAAUUGUGUUGUUUAAAAAUUUUCUAAACCUGCACUAUUGUUAGUCCAUGUGCCUCUCUUUCUGCACAGCUGAACAUCUCCUGUAAUCUGUGUAGAGUCUACACAGCGCUGGUGGCAUCAGUGAGGCUGUGACAGGCAAAAGCAAGGGAAACUCAGGCUCUUCAGUACCUGGAACAGAAAAAAAGUGCAGGAUUUGUGCCAUGACUUGUUUUUUACAAGUCACUAUUUUAAAAAGAAACCAAGAGGUUUAAAGGGAGAAGAAAUAAAAACCUAGGUUUCUUUUGAUUAACUUAGCAAACAAGAAUGGCCUGUCCCUUCCAGCUUUUCUACAUAAAUUCACCAAUUUCAUCUCUUUUUUCUGAGUUAGUUACCACAACUAUCAUGUGGUUGCUUUCUCAAAGAAUGAAUGAAGUUUUCUUACUGUAUCCCAGACUCCCACCGUGUCCGUGGAAGCUGCCAAACAUGUUUAGAGAGGCAGCAAGGGGUUUUCAACAGCCAGGUCACUACAGGUGCUGGCAAGAAAAAGAGUCUCUUCUGAAUUAUCCCAAAAGGACAAAUGUGUGAUCCCUAUGAACAGUUUUUCAUUUAUAAUCCUCAUGUGCUCUGAUAAAGGUUACUUCAAGCUGUCUUCCUCUCUGCAGUCUGCAGUAAGUGCAUCUUAAAAUAAUUGAGCUAAUGUAAAAGUCUUUAGCUUCUUCAUCCUAAUAAGCUGAAAUCUGUAUUCUAAAGGAAGUUAUUUUAGUGCUAAGUAAUGUUACAAAUUGAUUAGGAAUGUUUUCAUUCCGUAAGUCUCACAUUUCAAGCAGGGUACCUCCUGACACGCUCUUGCUUUUUCUAAGCACUAAAAAUGUUUUAGGAGAACCAAACCUGGAGAUUAUAGCCUUGGCUUCUCUCCUUUUUGCAUAGUAGCAGGACAAGACCUUCCCUCAUCAAAACACUGUUCUCUUUAAAUAUGCCAAAUUGUUUCAGAGGUUUCUCUGCCCUGAUGCUCUCAGGGGUGGGAUGAUGAUCAACUGAUGUCCUUCACCAAGAAUGUUUUCUAGAUGUAAGCUGCAGUCUGAAUUUUGGAGAAGUGCUUGAUGUGGUUGAGAAGGAGGGGCUGGAUGGUGCUGCUGUGAAUCUUACAGCAGUUGCAGAAAAAGCUGAUCAAUAGCAGUCCAAAAUGUAAGUGCAUUUGCUGAAACCCGCAGAAGCUUGUUGAGAAUAAUGAAGAAGCACUUGACCAGCACCUCAAGGUGGGACUAAUUCGCUCCCAGAAGAUCCUCAGUACCUUGUCAAGAGGACUACAGCCUGCAGAAAUCAAAACUCUGUGUAACAGGUGACAAACCAGUGUCAUUUACCUGUCAGGCGCUUUGCGUGGAGCCCCCGUGGCACGGCAGGAGGCAAGCCUGGUCUGUGUAGAAGCCUAAUCUCUGCUCGUGAAACCUGCCUGCACACGUAUACCAACACCGUGUGGCAGGGAGGAGCAUCUGUUUACUGCAGCAGGAGACGUUGGAGAAGCUGCUGAGAGACACACUAAUUGCAAACAAGAUUUGACCGCUUGUUAAGUAAGAUGAAGAAACCACACCUGGAGAAACAAGGACUGUUGCAGAGUAUGCUCAGGUCCCCAGGAUGGGCUACUGCUCUGAUAGCUGUUCUUGAUGGCGCUACCGCUGCAUGUUCACCUUCCCUUUCUUCGGCCGAGGAGGGACCUGAAGAAUCCAUGGCCCCUCUGAACCGCUGCCCUCUGCAACCCUUUAUGCAGAGAGCAAGCAGAGAAGCAGAAGGGUGCGCUCAAAAAAUGUCAUCUUCCAACGGUAAGGCGCGCUAUUCAUAUUGGCGUGAGCAUGCGGAGCCGAUGCUGUGAAGUAACAAGCAACUAGUAAAUCCCCUGCUCCACCAGGCGUGCGUAACCUGAUCUGCAGCACGGUGGAAGACUUAAAAAGGUUUUGCUGUCGUCCGCCUGCCUGUGACUGCAAAUGCGUUGCGGCAUUUCCUGUCCCUGCUCAGAUGGCAGAACUAAUUAGCUCAAGGUACAAAAGGAAAAUCCCUUGAAACGUUUGGCUGCAGCGGCCCUGGCCAGUCCUAUGAGGAGGAAGACUGAUAGUACGUUGACAUGAUACGACAACUGUGCACACACGGUGCCAACUGGGCACCUUCAGUCUUCUCUUCAAAAGCUUUCCCCACUCCUGUGGAUGGGGCAUGAAAUACGUUUCUCAUGGUACUCCGUAACUGGUAUUGCUUACAUUUUUACAUACAAAAAAGGUAGGACUAAUGUUUUAAAAUGUAUCUUGCCCUCCCCCCUCCCCCCCAAGAAAACCCACCCCACUGCUUAGCUUUUCUAAAAUACUAAAAACCUAACAGCACUCUCACAGUAUUGCCUGCUAAUUGCAGGGAACUUCCCCACCAGACGUGAGUGUUGGAGUUUUUGGUUAUAGAGACGGUACAAGACAUUCUCCAUCCGCACGCUGCAGAGGUUUUACACCCACUCCCCGAGCAGCUUUCACUGCAAGAACCGUGCUGCUGGUAAGGCUGUAAUGAGCUAUUGUAAAUAGAAUUUAAGCAAUCACUGUUAUUACCAGUGGUAACUUCCAGCAGGCAAAACUGUCCUUGCUGUUGCUUCAGCCGUCUACCCUAUUCCCACUAGAGUCUUCAUCACAUUAGGUCAAACGAGCACAAAAUGUAUUUCCUGAGCAGCACCCCUUAGGCUGUACCCCACCGUUACGUGGCGGCGUUGCUUGGUUUUGACGUCUCAUAGAAGCUGCGGGCAGAAAUACACCCUAGUACAGGCAAACCAAGCGUUAGCUCUGUCUUUUUACAGUUAAAUUUACUUUUUGAUUAAUGGAACGAAGAGCAAAAAAAGAGGUAAUGCACUCACCUUGCCUGCUUCCCCAGACUCCCUGAAGACCCAGGGUACCGUCACCUCCAGGCGCAGUGGUCCCCCCCGUGACAGCGGCCAGUCUGCCAGGGGAGCAGGGGCCCUGCUGUGCCAGCUCCGUGCCCGACAGCUCUCAGACACAUGUAACGAUGGGUAUUCUGCUCCUCCGCAGCUCCGGAGCCUGCUUUCCUUCCCCUGCCAUGCCAGCUGCUGCUUCUUAGCACUUUUUCUUCAGUCCAGGCAGACAAACAAAGUAGCUGCCACGGACAGCGCUGAUUCAAAGAACAAACCUGCUCUCCGGCUGCCAGUGGAGCCGUGAACUUUUGCAUAAACAGAAGCAGAAGGCAGAGACAGACAUCUUGUACACGGUGAGACCUCCUUUCCUUAAAAUUCCCAGGCAGGCUAAGAGAAGGACCACACAUGAGCCUGUAACACUCAACCCCCAAC